GAUGAACGCUGGCGGCGUGCCUAAUACAUGCAAGUCGAGCGAACGGACGAGAAGCUUGCUUUUCUGAUGUUAGCGGCGGACGGGUGAGUAACACGUGGAUAACCUACCUAUAAGACUGGGAUAACUUCGGGAAACCGGAGCUAAUACCGGAUAAUAUUUUGAACCGCAUGGUUCAAAAGUGAAAGACGGUCUUGCUGUCACUUAUAGAUGGAUCCGCGCUGCAUUAGCUAGUUGGUAAGGUAACGGCUUACCAAGGCAACGAUGCAUAGCCGACCUGAGAGGGUGAUCGGCCACACUGGAUCUGAGACACGGUCCAGAUUCCUACGGGAGGCACCAGUAGGGAAUCUUCCGCAAUGGGCGAAAGCCUGACGGAGCAACGCCGCGUGAGUGAUGAAGGUCUUCGGAUCGUAAAACUCUGUUAUUAGGGAAGAACAUAUGUGUAAGUAACUGUGCACAUCUUGACGGUACCUAAUCAGAAAGCCACGGCUAACUACGUG
rnacentral:rRNA from 1 species